rnacentral:rRNA from 1 species
AUGAACGCUAGCUACAGGCUUAACACAUGCAAGUCGAGGGGCAUCAGUUUGGUUUGCUUGCAAACCAAAGCUGGCGACCGGCGCACGGGUGAGUAACACGUAUCCAACCUGCCUCAUACUCGGGGAUAGCCUUUCGAAAGAAAGAUUAAUAUCCGAUAGCAUAUAUUUCCCGCAUGGGUUUUAUAUUAAAGAAAUUCGGUAUGAGAUGGGGAUGCGUUCCAUUAGUUUGUUGGGGGGGUAACGGCCCACCAAGACUACGAUGGAUAGGGGUUCUGAGAGGAAGGUCCCCCACAUUGGAACUGAGACACGGUCCAAACUCCUACGGGAGGCAGCAGUGAGGAAUAUUGGUCAAUGGACGCGAGUCUGAACCAGCCAAGUAGCGUGAAGGAUGACUGCCCUAUGGGUUGUAAACUUCUUUUAUAUGGGAAUAAAGUUGUCCACGUGUGGAUUUUUGUAUGUACCAUAUGAAUAAGGAUCGGCUAACUCCGUGCCAGCAGCCGCGGUAAUACGGAGGAUCCGAGCGUUAUCCGGAUUUAUUGGGUUUAAAGGGAGCGUAGGCGGAUUGUUAAGUCAGUUGUGAAAGUUUGCGGCUCAACCGUAAAAUUGCAGUUGAUACUGGCAGUCUUGAGUGCAGUAGAGGUGGGCGGAAUUCGUGGUGUAGCGGUGAAAUGCUUAGAUAUCACGAAGAACUCCGAUUGCGAAGGCAGCUCACUGGAGUGUAACUGACGCUGAUGCUCGAAAGUGUGGGUAUCAAACAGGAUUAGAUACCCUGGUAGUCCACGCCGUAAACGAUGAGUGCUAAGUGUUGGAGGGUUUCCGCCCUUCAGUGCCGCAGCUAACGCAAUAAGCAUUCCGCCUGGGGAGUACGACCGCAAGGUUGAAACUCAAAGGAAUUGACGGGGGCCCGCACAAGCGGUGGAGCAUGUGGUUUAAUUCGAAGCAACGCGAAGAACCUUACCAGGUCUUGACAUCCCGAUGCUAUUUCUAGAGAUAGAAAGUUACUUCGGUACAUCGGUGACAGGUGGUGCAUGGUUGUCGUCAGCUCGUGCCGUGAGGUGUCGGCUUAAGUGCCAUAACGAGCGCAACCCUUAUCUUCAGUUACUAACAGGUCAUGCUGAGGACUCUGGAGAGACUGCCGUCGUAAGAUGUGAGGAAGGUGGGGAUGACGUCAAAUCAGCACGGCCCUUACGUCCGGGGCUACACACGUGUUACAAUGGGGGGUACAGAAGGCCGCUACCUGGUGACAGGAUGCCAAUCCCAAAAACCUCUCUCAGUUCGGAUCGAAGUCUGCAACCCGACUUCGUGAAGCUGGAUUCGCUAGUAAUCGCGCAUCAGCCAUGGCGCGGUGAAUACGUUCCCGGGCCUUGUACACACCGCCCGUCAAGCCAUGAAAGCCGGGGGUACCUGAAGUACGUAACCGCAAGGAGCGUCCUAGGGUAAAACUGGUAAUUGGGGCU